AGACCCGAAACCCGGUGAUCUAGCCAUGGGCAGGUUGAAGGUUGGGUAACACUAACUGGAGGACCGAACCGACUAAUGUUGAAAAAUUAGCGGAUGACCUGUGGCUGGGGGUGAAAGGCCAAUCAAACCGGGAGAUAGCUGGUUCUCCCCGAAAGCUAUUUAGGUAGCGCCUCGUGAAUUCAUCUCCGGGGGUAGAGCACUGUUUCGGCUAGGGGGCCAUCCCGGCUUACCAACCCGAUGCAAACUGCGAAUACCGGAGAAUGUUAUCACGGGAGACACACGGCGGGUGCUAACGUCCGUCGUGAAGAGGGAAACAACCCAGACCGCCAGCUAAGGUCCCAAAGUCAUGGUUAAGUGGGAAACGAUGUGGGAAGGCCCAGACAGCCAGGAUGUUGGCUUAGAAGCAGCCAUCAUUUAAAGAAAGCGUAAUAGCUCACUGGUCGAGUCGGCCUGCGCGGAAGAUGUAACGGGGCUAAACCAUGCACCGAAGCUGCGGCAGCGAACGUAUCACCCAAGACAACUUUACGGAGUUGACGAUUGACGGAGCGAAGCGACGUCAAAGCGUUCAUUAAAGUCGAGUUGGCUUAGGGAUACGUUCGUUGGGUAGGGGAGCGUUCUGUAAGCCUGUGAAGGUGUGUCGUGAGGCAUGCUGGAGGUAUCAGAAGUGCGAAUGCUGACAUAAGUAACGAUAAAGCGGGUGAAAAGCCCGCUCGCCGGAAGACCAAGGGUUCCUGUCCAACGUUAAUCGGGGCAGGGUGAGUCGACCCCUAAGGCGAGGCCGAAAGGCGUAGUCGAUGGGAAACGGGUUAAUAUUCCCGUACUUGGUGUUACUGCGAAGGGGGGACGGAGAAGGCUAUGUUGGCCGGGCGACGGUUGUCCCGGUUUAAGCGUGUAGGUGUGUGUUCCAGGUAAAUCCGGUUCACUUUAACACUGAGGCGUGACGACGAGGCACUACGGUGCUGAAGCAACAAAUGCCCUGCUUCCAGGAAAAGCCUCUAAGCAUCAGGUAACAUCAAAUCGUACCCCAAACCGACACAGGUGGUCAGGUAGAGAAUACCAAGGCGCUUGAGAGAACUCGGGUGAAGGAACUAGGCAAAAUGGUGCCGUAACUUCGGGAGAAGGCACGCUGACACGUAGGUGAAGUGAUUUACUCAUGGAGCUGAAGUCAGUCGAAGAUACCAGCUGGCUGCAACUGUUUAUUAAAAACACAGCACUGUGCAAACACGAAAGUGGACGUAUACGGUGUGACGCCUGCCCGGUGCCGGAAGGUUAAUUGAUGGGGUCAGCGCAAGCGAAGCUCCUGAUCGAAGCCCCGGUAAACGGCGGCCGUAACUAUAACGGUCCUAAGGUAGCGAAAUUCCUUGUCGGGUAAGUUCCGACCUGCACGAAUGGCGUAAUGAUGGCCAGGCUGUCUCCACCCGAGACUCAGUGAAAUUGAACUCGCUGUGAAGAUGCAGUGUACCCGCGGCAAGACGGAAAGACCCCGUGAACCUUUACUAUAGCUUGACACUGAACAUUGAGCCUUGAUGUGUAGGAUAGGUGGGAGGCUUUGAAGUGUGGACGCCAGUCUGCAUGGAGCCGACCUUGA
rnacentral:rRNA from 1 species